rnacentral:misc_RNA from 1 species
UAUGGAACCACUGUUGUGUGCUCCGCUGCAUUACGUCAAAGGCAAAUACGCCCUCUAAUCGGUGUGGACUUGCACGCACCGGUCGGGCUUGAUAAUCUCAAG